UUAGAGUUUGAUCCUGGCUCAGAUUGAACGCUGGCGGCAGGCCUAACACAUGCAAGUCGAGCGGAUGAGUGGAGCUUGCUCCAUGAUUCAGCGGCGGACGGGUGAGUAAUGCCUAGGAAUCUGCCUGGUAGUGGGGGACAACGUUUCGAAAGGAACGCUAAUACCGCAUACGUCCUACGGGAGAAAGCAGGGGACCUUCGGGCCUUGCGCUAUCAGAUGAGCCUAGGUCGGAUUAGCUAGUAGGUGAGGUAAAGGCUCACCUAGGCGACGAUCCGUAACUGGUCUGAGAGGAUGAUCAGUCACACUGGAACUGAGACACGGUCCAGACUCCUACGGGAGGCAGCAGUGGGGAAUAUUGGACAAUGGGCGAAAGCCUGAUCCAGCCAUGCCGCGUGUGUGAAGAAGGUCUUCGGAUUGUAAAGCACUUUAAGUUGGGAGGAAGGGCAGUAAGUUAAUACCUUGCUGUUUUGACGUUACCAACAGAAUAAGCACCGGCUAACUUCGUGCCAGCAGCCGCGGUAAUACGAAGGGUGCAAGCGUUAAUCGGAAUUACUGGGCGUAAAGCGCGCGUAGGUGGUUCAGCAAGUUGGAGGUGAAAUCCCCGGGCUCAACCUGGGAACUGCCUCCAAAACUACUGAGCUAGAGUACGGUAGAGGGUAGUGGAAUUUCCUGUGUAGCGGUGAAAUGCGUAGAUAUAGGAAGGAACACCAGUGGCGAAGGCGGCUACCUGGACUGAUACUGACACUGAGGUGCGAAAGCGUGGGGAGCAAACAGGAUAAGAUACCCUGGUAGUCCACGCCGUAAACGAUGUC
rnacentral:rRNA from 1 species